rnacentral:rRNA from 1 species
AGUGAACGCUGGCGGUAGGCCUAACACAUGCAAGUCGAACGGCAGCACAGGAGAGCUUGCUCUCUGGGUGGCGAGUGGCGGACGGGUGAGGAAUACAUCGGAAUCUACUCUGUCGUGGGGGAUAAAGUAGGGAAACUUACACUAAUACCGCAUACGACCUACGAGUGAAAGCAGGGGACCUUCGGGCCUUGCGCGAUUGAAUGAGCCGAUGUCGGAUUAGCUAGUUGUCGGGGUAAAGGCCCACCAAUGCGACGAUCCGUAGCUGGUCUGAGAGGAUGAGCAGCCACACUGGAACGGAGACACGGUCCCGACUCCUCCGGGAGGCAGCAGUGGGGAAUAUUGGACAAUGGGCGCAAGCCUGAUCCAGCCAUACCGCGUGGGUGAAGAAGGCCUUCGGGUUGUAAAGCCCUUUUGUUGGGAAAGAAAUCCAGCUGGCUAAUACCCGGUUGGGAUGACGGUACCCAAAGAAUAAGCACCGGCUAACUUCGUGCCAGCAGCCGCCGUAA